rnacentral:rRNA from 1 species
CCUACGGGAGGCAGCAGUGGGGAAUUUUGGACAAUGGGGGCAACCCUGAUCCAGCCAUGCCGCGUGAGUGAAGAAGGCCUUCGGGUUGUAAAGCUCUUUCGGCGGGGAAGAAAUGGCAACGGCUAAUAUCCGUUGUUGAUGACGGUACCCGCAUAAGAAGCACCGGCUAACUACGUGCCAGCAGCCGCGGUAAUACGUAGGGUGCGAGCGUUAAUCGGAAUUACUGGGCGUAAAGCGUGCGCAGGCGGUUUCGUAAGACAGACGUGAAAUCCCCGGGCUCAACCUGGGAACUGCGUUUGUGACUGCGAGGCUAGAGUACGGCAGAGGGGGGUAGAAUUCCACGUGUAGCAGUGAAAUGCGUAGAGAUGUGGAGGAAUACCGAUGGCGAAGGCAGCCCCCUGGGUUAGUACUGACGCUCAUGCACGAAAGCGUGGGGAGCAAACAGGAUUAGAUACCCUGGUAGUCCACGCCCUAAACGAUGUCAACUAGGUGUUGGAAGGGUUAAACCUUUUAGUACCGCAGCUAACGCGUGAAGUUGACCGCCUGGGGAGUACGGCCGCAAGGUUAAAACUCAAAUGAAUUGACGG